CUAGCAUAUCAAUAAGCGGAGGAAAAGAAACCAACAGGGAUUGCCUCAGUAACGGCGAGUGAAGCGGCAACAGCUCAAAUUUGAAAUCUGGCUCUUUCAGAGUCCGAGUUGUAAUUUGUAGAAGAUGCUUCGGGUGCGGCCCCAGUCUAAGUUCCUUGGAAGAGGACGUCAUAGAGGGUGAGAAUCCCGUAUGUGACCAGGUGCCCCCGCGCCCAUGUGAAGCUCUUUCGACGAGUCGAGUUGUUUGGGAAUGCAGCUCUAAAUGGGUGGUAUAUUUCAUCUAAAGCUAAAUAUUGGCCAGAGACCGAUAGCGCACAAGUAGAGUGAUCGAAAGAUGAAAAGCACUUUGGAAAGAGAGUUAAACAGUACGUGAAAUUGUUGAAAGGGAAGCGCUUGCAAUCAGACUUGCGCGCCGUCGAUCAUCCCAGGUUCUCCUGGGUGCACUCGGCGGCGCUCAGGCCAGCAUCGGUUCUAGUGGUGGGAUAAAGGCCUUGGGAAUGUAGCUCCUUUCGGGGAGUGUUAUAGCCCUCGGUGCAAUGCCGCCUACCGGGACCGAGGACCGCGCUUCGGCUAGGAUGCUGGCGUAAUGGUUGUAAGCGACCCGUCUUGAAACACGGACCAAGGAGUCUAACAUCUAUGCGAGUGUUUGGGUGUCAAACCCAUACGCGUAAUGAAAGUGAACGGAGCUAAGAACCCUUUAGGGUGCAUUAGCGACCGAUCCUGAUGUCUUCGGACGGAUUUGAGUAAGAGCAUAGCUGUUGGGACCCGAAAGAUGGUGAACUAUGCCUGAAUAGGGUGAAGCCAGAGGAAACUCUGGUGGAGGCUCGCAGCGGUUCUGACGUGCAAAUCGAUCGUCAAAUUUGGGCAUAGGGGCGAAAGACUAAUCGAA
rnacentral:rRNA from 1 species